GUUUGGUUUGUUGACUUUCUACACCCUUCUGUUACCUUGUUUGUUGUGUAGUUUCUCUUAUGCCCUGCUCUGUGUGCUGUGUAAGAAGCCAAGUUUAAUCACCUGGUGAAAUGUCAUUGAAUUUGGAAUCCUGCACCUGCUUUAUAAUUGUGAUUAACCUUGCUUUAUGAUUGAAUAAAGCGGACAUUGUGGAAAGACACAGCUCAUGUGUGCACCUUCAUAAUAUGCUCUUGUCACCUGAGAAUUCAGAGGAGGGUAGUGCUGUUCAUUUCUAGAAGGCGGCUCAAGAUACUAACAAACCAGAUGAAAAAAGUAUGUGUCUUUGAGUUGUUGAGUUGUGUGAAUUGUUGAGUUGUGAUUUGAAUGUUUACUCUUUUCUACUGAUAAAGGCUGAAGAUAUUGACACUGUAGAUCUCAUGUCACUGAAAUAUCCUUAGCAAAGAGUUUCCUGAUUCUGUGUUUACCUUUACUUAAAUAGUUGCCAGUUAGUUCAGAACAUUUCUAGGAAGUGUAUUGUGUUGAUUUUCCAAGUACUUUAUC
rnacentral:lncRNA from 12 species